GAUGAACGCUGGCGGCGUGCCUAAUACAUGCAAGUCGAGCGGACGGACGAGAAGCUUGCGUCUCUGAUGUUAGCGGCGGGCGGGUGAGUAACACGUGGAUAACCUACCUAUAAGUCUGGGAUAACUUCGGGAAACCGGAGAUAAUACCGGAUGAUAUUUUGAACCGCAUGGUUCAAAGGAGAAAGACGGUCUUGCUGUCACUAAUCGCUGGAUCCGCGCUGUAUUAGCUAGUUGGUAAGGUAACGGCCUACCAAGGCGACGAUGCGUAGCCGACCUGAGAGGAGGAUCGGCCACACGGGAACUGAGACAGGGUCCAGACUCCUACGGUAGGCAGCAGUCGGGAAUCUUAGGCAAUGGGCGAAAGUCUGACCCAGCAAGGCCGCGUGAGUGACGAAGGCCUUCGGAUCGUAAAGCUCUGUUACUGGGGAAGAACAGCUGUGGACUGAAACGUGGCCAUCGUGACGGUACUGAAUCAAGAAGCACCGGCUAACUACGUG
rnacentral:rRNA from 1 species